rnacentral:rRNA from 1 species
AUCGAAUCUUUGACGCACCUUGCGCCCUUUGGUAUUCCGAGGGGCAUGCCUGUUUGAGUGUCAUUAAAUACCAUCAACCCUCUUUUGACUUCGGUCUCGAGAGUGGCUUGGAAGUGGAGGUCUGCUGGAGCCUAACGGAGCCAGCUCCUCUUAAAUGUAUUAGCGGAUUUCCCUUGCGGGAUCGCGUCUCCGAUGUGAUAAUUUCUACGUCGUUGACCAUCUCGGGGCUGACCUAGUCAGUUUCAAUAGGAGUCUGCUUCUAACCGUCUCUUGACCGAGACUAGCGACUUGUGCGCUAACUUUUGACUUGACCUCAAAUCAGGUAGGACUACCCGCUGAACUUAAGCAUAUCAAUA